rnacentral:rRNA from 1 species
UCAGGACACGCUGGCGGCGUGCCUAAUACAUGCAAGUCGAACGGUCUUUCUAUGGAAGCUUGCUUCCACUGAGAAGAUAGUGGCGAACGGGUGAGUAACACGUGGGUAACCUGCCCAUAAGAGGGGGAUAACAUCCGGAAACGGGUGCUAAUACCGCAUAGUUUCUUGAUCGCAUGAUCGGGAAAGGAAAGACGGCCUUUGUGCUGUCGCUUAUGGAUGGACCCGCGGCGUAUUAGUUAGUUGGUGAGGUAAUGGCUCACCAAGACGAUGAUACGUAGCCGACCUGAGAGGGUGAUCGGCCACAUUGGGACUGAGACACGGCCCAAACUCCUACGGGAGGCAGCAGUAGGGAAUCUUCCGCAAUGGACGAAAGUCUGACGGAGCAACGCCGCGUGAGUGAAAGAAGGUUUUCGGAUCGUAAAACUCUGUUGUCAGAGAAGAACAAGUUGGAGAGUAACUGCUCCAGCCUUGACGGUAUCUGACCAGAAAGCCACGGCUAACUACGUGCCAGCCGCCGC